UACAGAGGGUGCAAGCGUUAAUCGGAAUUACUGGGCGUAAAGGGCGCGUAGGCGGUUAUAAAAGUUAGAUGUGAAAUCCCCGAGCUUAACUUGGGAACUGCAUCUAAUACUGUAUAGCUGGAGUAGAAUAGAGGGAAGUGGAAUUUCCGGUGUAGCGGUGAAAUGCGUAGAUAUCGGAAAGAACACCAGUGGCGAAGGCGACUUCCUGGAUUCAUACUGACGCUGAGGCGCGAAAGCAUGGGGAGCAAAC
rnacentral:rRNA from 1 species